UACGUAGGGACCAAGCGUUGUUCGGAUUUACUGGGCGUAAAGGGCGCGUAGGCGGCUUGUCAAGUCACUUGUGAAAUCUCUGGGCUUAACCCAGAACGGCCAAGUGAUACUGCAGUGCUAGAGUGUGGAAGGGGCAAUCGGAAUUCUUGGUGUAGCGGUGAAAUGCGUAGAUAUCGAGAGGAACACCAGUGGCGAAGGCGAGUCUCUGGACAUUUCCUGACGCUGAGGCACGAAAGCCAGGGGAGCAAACGGG
rnacentral:rRNA from 1 species